GGAAGAACCCUAGAAAAUCAAGUGGAUAUUAAAUCGUGCUCUAUCGAAAUCAAAGCCCAUGGGGUUAGGGCUUUGAUUCCCCUAAUUGAACCUCACAUCUUGAUAAAUUCUACACAGUGACCUAAUGAAGAUGAAAGAAGAACUUACUGGAGCAACGCUGAAGUCAGGUAAGAAAUCUUCGAAUCCUCUCAAAACUCCUUCUUCCUCUUUGUUCUUAUCUUUUACUUCUUCUUAAAUUCUUUUGAAAAUUAUUUAUUUUGUGAGAUUGAACCGUGGAUUAGAGAGAGAGGAUCGUGAGUGAGGUCAAGCUCUACUUUGUUAAAGCUUCAAGGUGAAACUUCAAUUGAGUAUGUCAAAGGAGAUCUAGGUGAGGGUGGAGAGGAAAGUUCUGAGAUGAAAAUUGAAUCUUGAAAUUUUGAGAAGGGUGAAAAUGAAUCGUGAUCCUCGAUGAUGAAUGAUUGAAGAGUAUUUAUAGAUUUUAGGUCCUUUAAAUUUCGGUUAGAAAUGCCACAUGAAGUUCAACUAAAAUUCACAAGUUAGUUGGAAAUUAGAAAUUAUGUUAGAGUGAAUAUGAGUAAAAUAUUAGUUUUUUUCAUUGCAAACUUAGUUAGUUGGAUUAGGAUUCUAUGUGUGCUGCAUUAGGUUAUUUAUUGUGGUCUUCUUCUGUUAAGUGAAAAUUUACAGGGUGAAUGUUAAUUAUGCAGGAGAAUCGUAUGCUUUGUGUUAUGUUAAAAGUUAAGCAUGGCGUAUGCUUUGGUUUUGAAUGAACUUGGUGUGUUUCAUUUAAAACAAGGGCAAGGCUAUGCAUAUGAGGGAGCUUCCAAUUGGUGUUCAGUUAAAAAUGUGCAGGCUUAUGCUAGUUGAAAUUGGAGGGCGAAAGUUGAACUUGGUUUUGCUCUGUUAUGUAAUUUAUUU
rnacentral:lncRNA from 1 species